rnacentral:rRNA from 1 species
UACGUAGGGUGCAAGCGUUGUCCGGAAUUAUUGGGCGUAAAGAGCUCGUAGGCGGUUUGUCGCGUCGGCUGUGAAAACCUGGGGCUCAACCCCGGGCCUGCAGCCGAUACGGGCAGACUAGAAUUCGGUAGGGGAGUCCGGAAUUCCUGGUGUAGCGGUGAAGUGCGCAGAUAUCAGGAGGAACACCGGUGGCGAAGGCGGGACUCUGGGCCGAUAUUGACGCUGAGGAGCGAAAGCGUGGGGAGCAAACAGG